GCCGCCUGCUCCCGAACCGGAGCUGGCGGCGCCCGCGGCCCAGUCCGAGAGCAACUUUAGUCAGCUGGAGGAUCAGAUGGCAGAAGCACUGGCCCUCAGCGUCUUUGGUCCCGGGGAUUUCAACCAUUCGCUGGAUUUAUCAUUCAACCGAGAGAGCUUAGGUGGCGUCGAGCUGCCGCUGGUGGAGCUGGACGACAGCGACUGCGUGGACGACUGUCCCGCCAGCCCGGCGCGGGUCGAGCCGCCCACAGACGUCCUCAUCGACCUGUAGCAGCCUGGUGUCAGCGGCCGCGCCGGAGGCCGGCUGCCGGGCCCCGACCGGCGGG
rnacentral:lncRNA from 1 species